UGCCAGACUCCUACGGGAGGCAGCAGUGGGGAAUAUUGCACAAUGGGGGAAACCCUGAUGCAGCGACGCCGCGUGAGUGAAGAAGUAUUUCGGUAUGUAAAGCUCUAUCAGCAGGGAAGAAAAUGACGGUACCUGACUAAGAAGCCCCGGCUAACUACGUGCCAGCAGCCGCGGUAAUACGUAGGGGGCAAGCGUUAUCCGGAUUUACUGGGUGUAAAGGGAGCGUAGACGGUUAUGCAAGUCUGAAGUGAAAGCCCAAGGCUCAACCAUGGGACUGCUUUGGAAACUGUAAAACUGGAGUGCAGGAGAGGUAAGCGGAAUUCCUAGUGUAGCGGUGAAAUGCGUAGAUAUUAGGAGGAACACCAGUGGCGAAGGCGGCUUACUGGACUGUAACUGACGUUGAGGCUCGAAGGCGUGGGGAGCGAACAGGAUUAGAUACCCCCGUACU
rnacentral:rRNA from 1 species